rnacentral:rRNA from 1 species
AGAGUGAACGCUGGCGGUAGGCCUAACACAUGCAAGUCGAACGGCAGCACAGGAGAGCUUGCUCUCUGGGUGGCGAGUGGCGGACGGGUGAGGAAUACAUCGGAAUCUACCUUUUCGUGGGGGAUAACGCAGGGAAACUUACGCUAAUACCGCAUAAGACCUUCGGGUGAAAGCCGGGGACCUUCGGGCCUGGCGCGGAUAGAUGAGCCGAUGUCGGAUUAGCUUGUUGGCGGGGUAAAGGCCCA